rnacentral:piRNA from 1 species
UAGCAGUUGAUUGCCCAGGGCCCUGC